UACGUAGGGUGCAAGCGUUGUCCGGAAUUAUUGGGCGUAAAGAGCUCGUAGGCGGUUUGUCGCGUCGAAUGUGAAAACCCGGGGCUCAACCCCGGGCCUGCAUUCGAUACGGGCAGACUAGAGUUCGGUAGGGGAGUCUGGAAUUCCUGGUGUAGCGGUGAAAUGCGCAGAUAUCAGGAGGAACACCGGUGGCGAAGGCGGUUGCCUGGAGCUUUGCUGACGCUGAUGCGCGAAAGCGUGGGGAGCGAUCCGG
rnacentral:rRNA from 1 species